CACGGGGGGAGCAAGCGUUGUUCGGAAUCACUGGGCGUAAAGGGCGUGUAGGCGGUCAAGUAAGUGGAAUGUGAAAUCCCCCGGCUUACCCGGGGACCGGCAUCCCAUACUGCUUGGCUUGAGUACGGGAGAGGAUGUGGGAAUUCCUGGUGUAGCGGUGAAAUGCGUAGAUAUCAGGAGGAACACCGGUGGCGAAGGCGCACAUCUGGCCCGAUACAUGACGCUGAAGCGCGAAAGCUAGGGGAGCAAACGGG
rnacentral:rRNA from 1 species